CAGUCGCCGCGGUAAUACGAAGGGGGCUAGCGUUAAUCGGAAUUACUGGGCGUAAAGCGUGCGUAGGCGGUGAGUUAAGUCUGCUGUGAAAUCCACGGGCUCAACCUGGGAAUGGCAGUGGAUACUGGCUCGCUAGAGUGUGUCAGAGGAUGGUGGAAUUCCCGGUGUAGCGGUGAAAUGCGUAGAGAUCGGGAGGAACAUCAGUGGCGAAGGCGGCCAUCUGGGACAACACUGACGCUGAUGCACGAAAGCGUGGGGAGCAAACAGGAUUAGAUACCCCCGUAGUCCCUGUCUCUUAUAC
rnacentral:rRNA from 1 species